GAUCUUUAUUACCCAAAAAAUCACGCUUCAAAAUUAAAGUAUUCGGAUGUCCUAGUCUUUUAUGCCAAAUUUCAUGCUUAAUUCCAACAUCAAUACAACCUGAAGAUAUAGUAGUAGGAAUAUUAAAAUUGUAAUGGAAACAAUCUUUCGACUUUAGGCACCUUCACAAUUACUUUCCUCGAUCCUUGAUCUUGUACAAGAUGACCAGCACGAGAGAUGCACAUCACAGUUAUUGUCAACUAAUUGAACAACUGAAAUCAAGUUAGUAGAUAACCUCGAAGAUACAAAAACAUUAUCAAAGGAGGACCCAAUAUCACCAAUAGUAGUAAUUGGGAGGGUGGUGCUAUUAGGGAUCUGAAUGUGUUGUAUGCCAGUAUAACAUCUGAUGUAUUGUAAUGAAUUAGAAAUACUUGUUAUAUGAUUUGACGUCCCCGUAUCAACAAACCAAGGAGAAGAAAUAACUUGACCUUUACCUUGUAAGCCCAAGGCAGAGAAGGUGGAAACAAUCAUCUGCUGAACCGAUUGACUGGUACUUGCUUAGGAGAUUGUGGGAGUAGGUCCCUGAACAUUAGCCUGAAAUGCCCGAGCUUUUCGAUUUGGAGGUCGUAUGGGACAAUCCUUGAUGAGGUGCCUCGGUUGCUUACAAUAAUUGCAAACUUUCUGAGGACAAUUGCGAAUAACAUGACUGUAUCCUUUGCAGGAGAAGCACUGAAGUUUACUUUUUCUCCGUCCUUGCACUGCAUAUGCAACAUUCACAACAUCAAAGGACAUAUUAGCUCCCAUGGCAGUUUGUGUAGCCAUUUGUUGCUCCUCACGUAGAAGUCACCCAUUCAUACAUUUAAAGAGGGAACCGGAUCACGAUUCAAUGAACUCGUCCUAGCGACUUCAAACUCAAGUUGUAAUUUCGUAAGAAACUAAUCCUGCUUACUAACUUCUUGAACCUCUUGAAGAGCCAAUAGAGCCUCUAUAGGGACCUUAGCAUGAAUUAUGUUGGAGUACUCACUCCACAGGCUCAGAAAACCAGAGUAAUAGUGCUCAAUGGUGAGAUUGCCUUGAGUGUAGUUGGCAAUCUGUAACUCCAAUUGAAAUUGCCGUUCAUUGUUGUCCCGAUAAUGGAUUCAUUUUAAGUAUUUCCACAUUUCCAUAGCAGUAGUGAAGGAUAGUAAACUAUUCACCAUAUGCGCCUCCAUAAUACGAGUAUCCUUCGUUUCCCACGCACUAAGAUCCUUAGCAUCUUCAGGUGCUUUAGAAGACACAUCAAUAUGACCCCAAAGCAUCUUUCCUUUCAAAAACAUUUUGAAUUGAAAUUCCCUUGUCGAAUAAUUCUUCCCCGCAAAUUUAACACAAAAAGCUUCAACUGACAUGAUAUUGUAUCAUGAAGGUCAACCAAAUGAACCAAAGUAAAAUUAGCCCACACCAAAUACCAGCCCACAAGUUGGCAGCUCCAAAAAAAAAAAGCUCACACAAUUAUUGGCCCGAUUAGAAUAACCCAAUAAUCCACUCCACACAACUAAGCAGCCCACAAUCCAACAAUGGUUCACCAAAAUCAGUCACGGUAAUAGCCACAAAGAUUGCAAAAUGUAUCUUCAUAUGUAAUCUUUGAUAAUUAUCUAUUGAGAUGUCGUUGAUUAAAUUUUUCCUUGUAUUGCAACCUGGAAGUUGUAGUGAGACCAUUUUACACGGUAUGAUUUAGCAGUACUCUUAUUCUUAUGCCAUGGUGCUACAUCCUGCUAUGUGGAUGAUACGUAGCUGUCGAUAUUUCUUACACGAACUUGUGGACAUCACUUCCACAGAACGAGCUCUAUUGAGGGAGCUGAUUAGUUAGUUUUAUUGUUUCCGUGCCUUUGAUAUGUGCAAGCAUGACAUAACCGUGUAAUUUCCCAUUUUAAAAACUUGUGUUUGUUUAGAUUGGUGGAAAUGGAACAGUUUGGCGCACCAAAUCAUUAUGUUUGUGCCCCUUGUUUUCUUUUUCUUUCUUCAGACUCGACCAGCACGAAGAGAGUGAGAGUUGUGAAAGAAGGAUCGACUGAUAUACAAUACUUGUUGUAUAGUUGCUUUCUUAUCUUUAGUUUUCUACCAUUAAAGUGUAAAUCAACAGAAAUUAAAAGAUUAUUUGUGAUUUUAUGGUCAAAUCAAGUUUGAAACUCCAAAUUUGAAGUCCGUAUAUUUUCAUAAUAGAUGGAAAGAGUACGAUAUCCUUUUCAUACAACUGGAAAAGAUUGAAGUCCAAAUGUGAACCCCGUAUCUUUGUAUGAUAGAUGGAUAGAAUAACCUUAUCAGACAGCUGGACAGGAUUUCCCCGUGUAUUUAUUCCGAAAAAGACGAGGAUUGCACUUGACAAAAACGAGACUUGAAGUAUAUCUCUAGGAACCAUUCAUUGGAAAGUUGUUCGGUCUCCCUCAAUUUGGUGGGGACACCACUAUAAUUUUCUCGAAAUUAAUUUAAAGCUGUGUAAUUGUU
rnacentral:lncRNA from 1 species